AACGCACAUUGCGCCCGCCGGUAUUCCGGCGGGCAUGCCUGUUCGAGCGUCAUUUCAACCCUCAAGCCCAGCUUGGUGUUGGGGCACCCGGCCGCCUGGCGGCCCCGGGGCCCUCAAGUGUAUCGGCGGUCUCGCCGGGACUCUGAGCGCAGUAACUCGCGGUAAAACGCGCUUCGCUUGGUCUGUCUCCGGCGGGCUCCAGCCGCUAAACCCCCAUUUUCACCAGAGUUGACCUCGGAUCAGGUAGGAUUACCCGCUGAACUUAA
rnacentral:misc_RNA from 1 species